UGAUCCGGCCAUACCGCGUGAGUGAAGAAGGCCUUCGGGUUGUAAAGCUCUUUCAGCCGGAAAGAAAUCGUGCUUAUUAAUACUAAGUAUGGAUGACGGUACCGGAAGAAGAAGCACCGGCUAACUACGUGCCAGCAGCCGCGGUAAUACGUAGGGUGCGAGCGUUAAUCGGAAUUACUGGGCGUAAAGCGUGCGCAGGCGGUUUGGUAAGACAGAUGUGAAAUCCCCGGGCUUAACCUGGGAACUGCAUUUGUGACUGCCAGACUAGAGUGUAGCAGAGGGGGGUAGAAUUCCACGUGUAGCAGUGAAAUGCGUAGAUAUGUGGAGGAAUACCGAUGGCGAAGGCAGCCCCCUGGGCUAACACUGACGCUCAUGCACGAAAGCGUGGGGAGCAAACAGGAUUAGAUACCCUGGUAGUCCACGCCCUAAACGAUGUCAACUAGGUGUUGGGAAGGAGACUUCUUUAGUACCGCAGUUAACGCGUGAAGUUGACCGCCUGGGGAGUACGGUCGC
rnacentral:rRNA from 1 species